rnacentral:rRNA from 1 species
ACACGUAGGGCGCAAGCGUUGUCCGGAUUUAUUGGGCGUAAAGGGCUCGUAGGCGGUUUCGUAAGUCGGGUGAGAAAACUCAGGGCUCAACCCUGAGACGCCACUCGAUACUGCGAUGACUUGAGUCCGGUAGGGGAGCAGGGAAUUCCUGGUGUAGCGGUGAAAUGCGCAGAUAUCAGGAGGAACACCAUUAGCGAAGGCGCUGCUCUGGGCCGGUACUGAUGCUGAGGAGCGAAAGCAUGGGGAGCAAACAGGAUUAGAAACCCUAGUAGUCC